UACGUAGGCAGCAAGCGUUGUUCGGAAUUACUGGGCGUAAAGCGCGUGUAGGCGGUUGUCCAAGUUGGAUGUGAAAGCCUUGAGCUUAACUCAAGAAAUGCAUUCAGGACUGGAUGACUAGAGGACCGGAGAGGAUAGUGGAAUUUCCGGUGGAGCGGUGAAAUGCGUAGAGAUCGGAAAGAACACCAACGGCGAAAGCACUCUGCUGGGCCGACACUGACACUGAGAGACGAAAGCUAGGGGAGCGAAUGGG
rnacentral:rRNA from 1 species